AGAAUCAACGCUGGCGGCGUGCCUAACACAUGCAAGUCGCACGAGAAAGGGUAGCAAUACCUGAGUACAGUGGCGCACGGGUGAGUAACACGUGAAUUAUCUACCUCCGAGUGGGGAAUAACUGAGAGAAAUCUUAGCUAAUACCGCAUAACACUUACGAGUCAAAGCAGCAAUGCGCUUGGAGAGGAGUUCGCGGCAGAUUAGUUAGUUGGCGGGGUAAUGGCCCACCAAGACGAUGAUCU
rnacentral:rRNA from 1 species